rnacentral:rRNA from 1 species
UACAGAGGGGGCAAGCGUUGUUCGGAAUUACUGGGCGUAAAGGGCGCGUAGGCGGCCUUCUAAGUCGAACGUGAAAUCCCCGGGCUCAACCCGGGAACUGCGUCCGAUACUGGAAGGCUUGAAUCCGGGAGAGGGAUGUGGAAUUCCAGGUGUAGCGGUGAAAUGCGUAGAUAUCUGGAGGAACACCGGUGGCGAAGGCGACAUCCUGGACCGGUAUUGACGCUGAGGCGCGAAAGCGUGGGUAGCAAACGGG